CGCCGCAGUAGAAAACUAAAACGAACCAUUCAAGGCUUAACAUCAGUAGUGUCGGCCCCACCAACGCACCCGCCGCCACUUCCACCGCCAAUCCCUCCGCCGAUGCCUCCACCGCCAAGACCCCCCACACCGCCGUCACCUCCGCCGAUUCCGCCGCCAAGACCACCCAAACCACCAUCACCUCCACCGAUGCCUCCUCCUAGGCCAGCACCACCAAGCCCUCCAAGACC
rnacentral:lncRNA from 1 species